rnacentral:lncRNA from 1 species
AGACCCCAAAAUUAGUUGUUUAAUACAAGACCAGUUUAUUUCUUGCUAUUCCAAACCUAUUAAAGAUGUUCCCGCCCUGCAGGUGGCCUGCUACAUGGUCCUUCAGAAACCAAACUCCUUCCAUAUUACAGCCCUGUCCUCCUCUAGAUCCUCAGUCCUUUCCAGCGUGGUCCAGUUGUUGAGGAAAGGGUUGGAGGGUUGCCAUGGGGGGUUUGCCGGUGCCAGGUCUGGAAGUGGUGCAUGUCCGUUCUACUCAUACUUCACUAGCUGGAGCUCAGACAAAUGACCACAGGAAGGCUGGUAAAUAUGGUUGAGAGGUUUUCCUGUUGGUUGCUCAAAAAGUAAAUAGCAAAAAUAUGUGUCUCUAUGUAAACAUAUUUUCUGAAAUUGGGUCAAAAGGAUCAAUGACUAGUUUGUGGUGUGUGAGUCCUGUGGACGAUGUGUGUACUGACCAUUCAUGCUUCCAGAGCUUCCUUUCUGUUGAUCAGGGAUUACGGGAAUGAUGUUUUAGAAAUUUGGUCACCUGGUUUGUAAAGUAAGGUCUUCCUGGGCAGAGUUUUGCUUUUCCCUUUGUCUUCUGAGGUAGAUUUAUAGGCAGCUCUUGUUAUUUACACUAAAGGAAGGAGGAGAGAGAGAGAUUUUAUACCUCCUGGAAUUCACUCUGCCGUGUGGCUGAUUAUGUCCGGAACCCAUUGAUAAUUCCUCAUGUCAACGUUGGGAAUGCAAGCACAGACAACACCUAAACAGAGGCCAGCCUGCCUUUUCUUGGAGGUGGGCCAAGGAAUGGUUAUGGGAGCGUGAAAGCUCUUCUCACAAUUCUAGUUCUUCCCCAGUGCAUGGAGUAAUGGAAGGGCCCCAGCAUUCUAUACAUAUGAAUUUUGAAGGGAAUUUACUGAAUAUCUAAUACUAUACUCUCAAGUUACAUAUUAGGAAUGGCUUAAGUGACCAGCUCAACUUCAUGCAGUUAAUGACCAGGAGACUCAUGAUUAUUUUAUUCCUCCUCAUUUUUCAUGUUCUUCAAACACCAAGUUCGAAUUUUUGUCGUGAUGCAAGAAGGCUAAAGGCUUUGAUAUGGUAAUGCCUCUUUCCAAAGGCAUGAUCCAUGAAAGAAAGCCAUAUGAUCCAGCAAUCUUGCUCCUUGGUAUUUGCCCAAAGGAGUCAAAAAACAUGUCCGCAUAAAAACCUGCAAAGUCUAUAUACCGUAUGAUUUCAACUGUACGGCAUUCUGGAAAAGACAAAAAGUAGGAAUAUACAGCAAACAACAUGUAGUUAAAAUAUAGAAAACAAUCACAGACAGAACUGUGUGGACAAGUAGGUAAAUUAACAAUUAUAGUUUGAGAAUUUAUUAUACUUACCUCAGAAAUUGAAAAUAAUAUCCAUAAAAUAGCAAAAUAUAGAUCUGGUGAAUAUCACCAAACAACUGAAGCCAACUGAUAUACGUCAGCCUAUAUAUCCAUCCAUUAUGGUCCUUCUCUGCAGCUGCUGAGAGUCAUUUAGGAUGCUGGCCACCUGGUACCUGCUCCCCCAUUGUGCCCUUAUAGUCCUGAGUUUUGGGAUAUCCCUGAGUUCUUCAUUGAUCACUGGGGCAUGACCAGCCUUUCAAGAAGCCUUGGCCUUGCCUGAAAGUACUAUAGCAGCAGCAUCUGUGCAAAUGU